rnacentral:rRNA from 1 species
UACGAAGGGUGCAAACGUUGCUCGGAAUUAUUGGGCGUAAAGCGCACGUAGGCGGCUAUCUAAGUCGGAUGUGAAAUCCCUCGGCUUAACCAAGGAAGUGCACCCGAAACUGGAUAGCUUGAGUACAGAAGAGGAUCGCGGAAUUCCCGGUGUAGAGGUGAAAUUCGCAGAUAUCAGGAGGAACACCGGUGGCGAAGGCGGGUCUCUGGGCCGAAACUGACGCUGAGGAGCGAAAGCGUGGGGAGCAAACAGG